UCGCGGUGAUGAAUGAUUCCAACGCCAUUCGUAGUUUCCACCAGACCUGAGCUGCAAGGCUCAUGAUGGCACAAUACCUUCCUUGGAUGUCUGAGCGA
rnacentral:snoRNA from 1 species